rnacentral:rRNA from 1 species
AAAACGGAGAGUUUGAUCCUGGCUCAGGAUGAACGCUGGCGGUAUGCUUAACACAUGCAAGUCGAACGGUGUCUUCGGACACAGUGGCGGACGGGUGAGUAACGCGUGAGAAUCUGGCUCUAGGUCUGGGACAACCACUGGAAACGGUGGCUAAUACCGGAUGUGCCGAGAGGUGAAAGGUUAACUGCCUAGAGAUGAGCUCGCGUCUGAUUAGCUAGUUGGAAGUGUAAUGGACUCCCAAGGCGACGAUCAGUAGCUGGUCUGAGAGGACGAUCAGCCACACUGGGACUGAGACACGGCCCAGACUCCUACGGGAGGCAGCAGUGGGGAAUUUUCCGCAAUGGGCGAAAGCCUGACGGAGCAAUACCGCGUGAGGGAGGAAGGCUCUUGGGUCGUAAACCUCUUUUCUCAGGGAAGAACACAAUGACGGUACCUGAGGAAUAAGCAUCGGCUAACUCCGUGCCAGCAGCCGCGGUAAUACGGAGGAUGCAAGCGUUAUCCGGAAUGAUUGGGCGUAAAGCGUCCGCAGGUGGCAAUGUAAGUCUGCUGUUAAAGAGUCUAGCUCAACUAGAUAAGAGCAGUGGAAACUACAUAGCUAGAGUACGUUCGGGGCAGAGGGAAUUCCUGGUGUAGCGGUGAAAUGCGUAGAGAUCAGGAAGAACACCGGUGGCGAAGGCGCUCUGCUAGGCCGUAACUGACACUGAGGGACGAAAGCUAGGGGAGCGAAUGGGAUUAGAUACCCCAGUAGUCCUAGCCGUAAACGAUGGAUACUAGGCGUGGCUUGUAUCGACCCGAGCCGUGCCGUAGCUAACGCGUUAAGUAUCCCGCCUGGGGAGUACGCCGGCAACGGUGAAACUCAAAGGAAUUGACGGGGGCCCGCACAAGCGGUGGAGUAUGUGGUUUAAUUCGAUGCAACGCGAAGAACCUUACCAAGGCUUGACAUGUCGCGAAUCUUCUUGAAAGGGAAGAGUGCCUUCGGGAGCGCGAACACAGGUGGUGCAUGGCUGUCGUCAGCUCGUGUCGUGAGAUGUUGGGUUAAGUCCCGCAACGAGCGCAACCCUCGUUUUUAGUUGCCAGCAUUAAGUUGGGCACUCUAGAGAGACUGCCGGUGACAAACCGGAGGAAGGUGGGGAUGACGUCAAGUCAGCAUGCCCCUUACGCCUUGGGCUACACACGUACUACAAUGCUCCGGACAGAGGGCAGCAAGCAUGCGAAUGCAAGCAAAUCCCGUAAACCGGAGCUCAGUUCAGAUCGCAGGCUGCAACUCGCCUGCGUGAAGGAGGAAUCGCUAGUAAUUGCAGGUCAGCAUACUGCAGUGAAUUCGUUCCCGGGCCUUGUACACACCGCCCGUCACACCAUGGAAGCUGGUAGUGCCCGAAGUCAUUACUCCAACCAUUCGUGGAGGAGGAUGCCUAAGGCAGGACUGGUGACUGGGGUGAAGUCGUAACAAGGUAGCCGUACCGGAAGGUGUGGCUGGAUCACCUCCUUUUU